UCCAGGGUAGCCUAGUGGACAUGGCAUCUGCCCGGUAAGCGGAAGGGUCGUGGGUUCGAUUCCCGCCCCUGGAC